GAGCACGUAGGUGGGUUUGUAAGUCAGAUGUGAAAGCCUUCUGUUCAACGGAAGAAUUGCAUCUGAAACUGCGAGUCUUGAGUGUAGGAGGGGAGAAUGGAACUUCUGGUGGAGCGGUGAGAUGCGUAGAUAUCAGAAGGAACGCCGGCGGCGAAAGCGAUUCUCUGGCCUAUUACUGACACUCAGUGUGCGAAAGCUAGGGGAGCAAACGGGAUUAGAUACCCCGGUAGUCCUAGCCGUAAACGAUGGGCACUAAGUAGAGGGGUUUU
rnacentral:rRNA from 1 species